UUUGAACUGUAAGCGGAAAACGAUUUUCGAUAAAUGUAACUCGCUGAUAGCUGACAUGUGUAUACAUCUAAAUGUUUCUGCGUCAACACAACUUAACCAAUAGUUGAUUAACAUUUUAGCCAGUUAUCAACUUUCACCAGUUUGCCUGUUUGUAUUGGACUUAAAUUCUAAUUAACUUAGCUAUAGUGGAAUAUUGGAAAAUUUUGUGAUAAAUAAUUUCUAAUAAAAUGUAACUAAAAAUAGAGUUAAAGCCAUGAAGAACUGGAAACGAAUAAAAACAAAGCCCAAGGAAAAGAGACCCACCACGUAAUAAAAUGAAUUUUGGGUUAAAAAAAAAGCACCAAAAA